GUGCUCACUUCGGCAGCGCAUAUACUAAAAUCGGAACGACACAGAGAAGAUUAGCAUGGCCCCUGUGCAAGGAUGACACACACAUUCAUGAAGCAUUCCAUAAAUAA
ensembl:snRNA U6 U6 spliceosomal RNA